AGAGUUUGAUCCUGGCUCAGAAUGAACGCUGGCGGCAUGCCUAACACAUGCAAGUCGAACGAGAUCUUCGGAUCUAGUGGCGCACGGGUGAGUAACGCGUGGGAACCUACCUUUUAGUACGGGACAACGUCUGGAAACGGACGCUAAUACCGUAUACGCCCUCCGGGGGAAAGGUCAGCCGCUAAAAGAGGGGCCCGCGUCUGAUUAGCUUGUUGGUAGGGUAAUGGCCUACCAAGGCUACGAUCAGUAGCUGGUCUGAGAGGAUGAUCAGCCACACUGGGACUGAGACACGGCCCAGACUCCUACGGGAGGCAGCAGUGGGGAAUAUUGGACAAUGGAGGCAACUCUGAUCCAGCAAUGCCGCGUGUGUGAUGAAGGCCUUAGGGUUGUAAAGCACUUUCAA
rnacentral:rRNA from 1 species